GACGAACGCUGGCGGCGUGCUUAACACAUGCAAGUCGAACGGUGAUGCCCCAGCUUGCUGGAGUGGAUCAGUGGCGAACGGGUGAGUAACACGUGAGCAACCUGCCCCAGACUCUGGAAUAAGCGCUGGAAACGGCGUCUAAUACUGGAUACGAAACUGGCCCGCAUGGGCAUGGUUUGGAAAGUUUUUCGGUUUGGGAUGGGCUCGCGGCCUAUCAGCUUGUUGGUGAGGUAAUGGCUCACCAAGGCGACGACGGGUAGCCGGCCUGAGAGGGCGACCGGCCACACUGGGACUGAGACACGGCCCAGACUCCUACGGGAGGCAGCAGUGGGGAAUAUUGCACAAGGGGCGAAAGCCUGAUGCAGCGACGCCGCGUGAGGGAUGACGGCCUUCGGGUUGUAAACCUCUUUCAGCAGGGAAGAAGCGAAAGUGACGGUACCUGCAGAAGAAGCACCGGCUAACUACGUG
rnacentral:rRNA from 1 species